rnacentral:tRNA from 1 species
UUUCUGGUGGCUCAGAUUGUAAAGCAUCUGCCUAUAAUGCAGGAGACCCAGGUUCAAUUCCUGGGUUGGAAA